rnacentral:lncRNA from 1 species
GGAAAAACAGGGCCACAGGCUGGGCAUGACACAUCUUGUUACCCAUGCAAUGUUGGGGUCAGAGAGUGUAGAGAGUGGUGUGGGGAGAGUGCAGGCUGAAGAGUUACCUAAGGUCAAAAUCCUGACCUAUGAGCCAAGCCAUCGAUUUGGGAUUUCUACUGAGGACACUGGAAGUCACUAAGAGCAUCUGAAUGCCUGGACCCACGCCUUCAUCAAUCUACUGUCAGGGAUAGAUUGUGCAUUUUCUGUGUCCCAGUGGGUGCCCCCCCCCCAAAAUAGAGCAGACAAAGCCUGGCCUGCGAGGGUACUGGUUUAGUUCAACAAAUAUCCAUAGAAUGCCCACUUAGGCAAAAUGGCAUAGGGCAGAUUGCCAAAAUCAGGGUUGACUCGGCCUGGAGCCAUGAAGUGGGUCCAACAGGUCUCUGAACUGAGGCAGGAGGCCCCAGGAUCCCGAGGUGUGCUGUAAAGCCUUUGAUGACAGCAUCUUGUGCCUAACACCUGACCACAUCUGAGCCACUAGAGACAGUACCUGAUAAGGAUGCAGAUGCCUGGGCCCUACCUUCCAAAGUUCUGGCUCAGUAGGUCUGGGGGAAGACCAGUAAUCUUCAUUUUAACAAAGACCACUGACGGUUCUGAUGCAGGUGGUCCAAGGACCACACCUGGAGAAACUUCCACCUCUAGGAGCAUCUGGGGUAAAAACUUCACCCAAACUUCCUAAGGUCACAACAUAUCCCCCCCAACAGAGGAAGCAGUAACUUUUGGCCACAGCCCCUAGAGAGGGGAUUUGCCUGGCGUUUCUAUACUGUCCUCUGUCCAAGGACAAAGUGUGCCUUACCCCACAACUGCUUUGUGGUUAAAAGCUUCUAUUGAGGGAUAGUUUAUUUACUUCUAGCACUAUGAAGCAAUAUAGUGAGGUUUUUGUUUCCUUUGAAUCCCAGUCAUUUUAUGCUGCAGAAAAUCUAGAGUUUUUGCCACAGUGGAGGACUCUGCUUAAGGACUACCUAUCUGGGUCUGGUAAUAGCUACCCCAACCCAACGGUCCUGAACGAGUAAUAUGGUUCGACUGUUUCCCUCCCCACCUCCAAAUCUCAUCUUGAAUUGUAGUUCCCAUAAUCCCCACGUGUUGUGGGAGGGACCUGGUGGGAGGUAAUUGAAUCAUGGGGGCGGUUAGCCUCAUGUUGUUCUCCUGAUAGUGAGUUCUCACAAGAUCUGAUGGUUUUAUAAGGGGUUUUUCCUCCUUUUGCUUGGCACUUCUUGCUGCCACCAUGUGAAGAAGGACAUAUUUGCUUCCCCUUAUGCCAUGACUGUAAGUUUCCUGAGGCCUCCUGAGCCAUGUGGAACUGUGAGUCAAUUAAACCUCUUUCCUUUAGAGAUUACCCAGUCUCAGAUAUGUCUUUAUUAGCAGAGUGAGAAUGGGCUAAUACAAUGAGAUAGAACUUAAAUCCCCUGCAUGCUCAUCAGAGGAGGCUCCAUAGAAGAUCAUGGACCUUGAACAAGGUGCAAGUAAGCCUAGAUGCAAUGCAAUGGAUUAGGGAUUCCAGGCUUGAAAACCAGUGGGAAGGAAGGGGUCAGGUGGGAGUGGUCCUCAGUUCCUGUGUGGGCUCUGGCAUCAGGCAGCACACAGGAGUCUUCCCUGCUGGUGGGGAGAGAAAGAGGCAGUAGAAGGGGUCCCGAGCUGGAAGGAUCAGCAGCCACUGCAGACUACUGAUGGAGGCAGUGCCAGGGAGGAAGAGGGUCGUGCCUAGUGGUGUCCAGGCAUUGGCAUGCAGGAGGCAGUCCAGGCACUGGUACCCGGGAGAGUUAAAACUGGGGGAAGGGAAGACAGCAGGGGAUUCUCACAAGGAAUGUGGAGCAGAGGCCCAGGCAGGGGGCCAUCAAGGUGGAGAGGACUGAACCUGGAAAUGGAAGCUUUCCAAGUCACACAUUGAAGAGUAUCAGCAAGGUCUUAAGCCCUGGAACAGUGAGGGAUGGCAUCAGGACAAACUGAGGUCAGUGAGUGUGUUGGCAGCGGACCAGGCUCCGAACGGCACAAACUCCGUCUGGGAUGGGGAAUCUAGCAGAAGACCUAGGAAGAAUUUGAAGAGGGUUCAGAGGUGAAUUAGGGAUGCUUGUAGCUUUUGUGUGGGCAGUGCGUUACUGGGGUGUAGUCCUCAUUGAAGGCCCAAGAUUCUGCCUCUAAGGGUGUAACUCUGCUGAAUCCAGCACCUGAGAGGCUGUCCAGAGCAGGCAGGAGGUCAGCUGUCAGGCUGUGGGCCCAGUUUUAGAGUCAAAUUGAAUUUCCAGUGGGGAAGACCAAAGCUGAAGUCCAUCCCCCAGAGGAUGAGAGAAAGGAAGGCUGCAGCUCAGGCAGCUCAGGGAGUCUGAGGCAGCAAACGAGCUCUGGACCUUGAAGUGGGGAGAGGAAGUCCUUUCACCUCAUCACAGUGCUCACAUCACCUCAGAAACCAGGUGGGACACACAGCUGUGACAGGAUACUGGAUCAUACCCCAAGAGAAAGGGGAGCUCCAAUGGAAAAGCCACCUGCAUCAUGAUGCUGCCUGUCACUUGACUGAGCGUUCCUGCUGCCCAGAAGCUCCUGUUGUCCUCCCAACUGACGGGAUGCUCUUGGACAGUGAUGCCAGCUGGAAUUAAGACUGGGUUUCCAAGGCCACUGUGACCACCAUGAUUAAUCAAUCCCUACUGCUAGGGCUCCAACAUGCCUCAGCCAGAAAGCUGUCAUCUCUUUCCUGGGAACAUUCCUUAAGAAAGAACCAUCAUGGGGUUGGAUGAAACUAAACUUGCAAAGAAGGUGAUGUGUAACCAAGUUGGAGUGUGGAGUGUGGGGUCAAAGAUGAUGGCAUUCUGUGUGGAUCCGCAGUGGUAGGAAUGGAGGUGAGGAGGAAGAAAUGAAUCCAGGAGGCAGCGUGACAGAAAACACAGACUUUGGUGACGACAUGUGAGAAGCUGUAAACUGAUAAGAAGAAAAGACGUCUCCAGCACGUUUGGGUUAGUGUCAUCAACCCAUGGAUCCUGCCCACAGCAAGACUUGGCCCAGUCACAACCCCCUUUCUAGCAAUGUGGAGAUAAAUGUCUUCAACAGAAAGGGUUGGGAAUCCCAUGUGACAGCCGAGCUCUGUUCUGCCUUUGACAGAGUCUGAUGCGAAGUGGAUCAUCUCAGGGAUGUGCCUUGCUGGCUUCACCCACCUGGAGCCUCAGGGGAAGUCUCAGGUGGGAGAUGUUAAUUUGAGAGGCCUGGGUAUAAAAGUAAUCCCAAGAUGUCACAAGAUAGAAUACUUUCUCUGAGGCACAAACAGGGAGAAAAACAAGAACAGAACCCCUUAGCAGGACACUCAUAAUAAGAAGAAUUAGGAAAAGAAAAGGGAACCCGGGGUGACACAAAACUGGGGGAGUCUGUUACCACAAGGUAGAUGGCUACCUCCAGUUGGACAAAUUUCCAUGGACCACCAUGCAAUUUCUGGAGAUGCCGCCUUUGAUCCCCUCUUCUCCCUUUGCUCCUCCCUCAUCUCCACACUCAAAGUGCACAUUAUUCAGAUGUCCAGCACGCCCCUAAAUCAACUUGACUUCUCUUGUUCCUUGGCAGAUUCAAGGACCAGCCUUCAUUGGAUUUGGGGUGGAAGCUACAUGCUUGUGUCAAGGGUUGUAAUCCCAAGUCUGGUCCUGUUUUCUGCAAACAAUAUCAUUGUAAACACAUUGAAUGUGUCUGAAUGGGAUUCACAUAACCUAUUCAAAGGUUAAUAUCACAAGACUGAUACUGAGCUGGAAGCUCUGAAAUGUACUUGUGCUCAGGGAAGAUAUUUGCUAAUGUUUGGCUUUAAUUUCCCCUGGAACUUGUACACAUCAGUGAGGCCUGGGGAUAAUGAAUAACAGCAUGGACAAUAAAUUUUAAAACAAACAAAAUAAAAACUCAAAGAACAUUAAUGCAGACCAGUGCUGGGAUAUGAUGUGUGUUACAAGAGAGUAAUGAUUACUCUUGGUGAGCAGAUUCUAUUAUCUGCUUCUUAGGAGCAAUAGGUGGCUGCCUCUUGAUUGUAUUAGUCCUGGAGUUAUAAAAUCCUCAGUCCUUUACAAUGCAAAAGUGACACAUGGGGCGAGUAAGCAGGUAAGAGAAGGAGCAAUUGGAGGAAGAGAAAUGAGAUCUGUGGCAGGGGCUAUUGGCUUUCCACUAAAACCCAUUCUCUACUUCUUGCUGGGCAAGAACUAGGCAGUAUUUACCAGCCCCUCUUGCAUUUGGGGUGGCCACAAACGAAUUCUGGCCAGUGGAGUGAGGGGCUUCUCAGACAGCAGCCUGCCCCUUCCACACUCCUGUUCCCCUUGCAGUGGCUCAAAGCCCUUGGGUGAUGAUGGAGCCAUAGCUGGAAGAAGCCUGGGUCCCUGGGUCCCCCGUGGAGCCUCCACGCGGGAAGGUGGUCUAGAAAUACACUUCCAUAUUUCAGCCAGCAUGCCUUGGGAUCUUUUUUUAAUGGUGGUUCAGCCUACCCUAACUAAAGCUGGGCCCACUCAGCACGCCCCACACAGGGAUUCUGAAAUGGGAGCAGGGUCCACCAAAACUCUGCUUUUCAGAGAGCUCACACCCUAGGGGAGUAUAAAAGUGACGAGGACACUGGAGCUGGCAGGCAAGACCCAGGAUGCCAAAAUUAGGGCCCCUAAACACAGCAGGGAGGGUGAGCUAUCCUCUUGUGAGGUGGGAGGAGGGUCUCCGUGAGCAGGGCUCUUCUUGGGCCAAACCUGGAUCAUGAGGAGGAGGGAGAGAUGCUGAAUAUGACAUGUCAUUCAAAGUGCUGUCUGGAAAUUUGAGUUCGUUUCUUCAGUAGAGGCAGCACAGGUUAAUCAGACAAACCAGCCAUCAACAGGCUUCCUUUGAGGAGCUUGGUAAGAAUGGAAAACCCAGGGCUGAGGGGCUUACAGAGCUUACAGAGCAGCACAGUAUCAGGGGCCCAAGGCACCAGGAGCUCCUCUGGAAAUUGGCGGGAACAGCUGGAGCAAAGCCGAGGUGAUGGUACCCCUGGUGGCGGGACGGCAGCGACCCUCCAUGGUAUAAGGAGUGGUGAGACCCCAAGGGACAGUGUGCAAGGACUCUGAUGGCAGCAACACUCCUCUAGGAGCUGAUGAGAAAGGCCUGGAAUCCCAAGAUGCACCCCUGAGGUUCAACUCCUACCCUGAUCAUCUCCUCCAAGAUUCUGUGACCUGGGGAAGUCAACAGUACAUUUCAACACCUAUGAUGUCAGCAUGUGAAUGACAUUCCAAUGCUGCUCAUGGGGUCACCCCUGCAAAGGUGAACUCAGUGGAAAGACCUUGCCAAACCGGAAGGAAAACAGGAUACUUUUCUCCAAAAUACUCAUUCAAUAAAUAUUUGCUUAGGCAUUACAAAGACAAAUAAGACUUGCCCCUACCUGUUAGAGGUAUGUAUGUCGAGAAAAGGAAGGAGUGAUUCAAUAAGAGAAACAGCAUUCAGGGAAGAGAAAGAAGGAAGACAUAAAAAUUCAGGUCAUAUUAGAAUAAUAUAUAUAACAAUGAGUUUGGCUAUAUUUCAGAAUUUUCCCAAAAUAUUUCUUUCAAAUUUGAUUGACAUUCUAAACUAUUUAGCUUGAUAUAAAUGAGAUCUUUGUGUACCCUCAGCAGGAACUGCAUUUUAGCUGGUUUUAAAUCUCAACAAUCACUUUCCUGCCUUGGAGAAGGUAUGAACCAGGCUGUUUAUGUAGAAUCCAGGUGGGUUUGAGAGCAGCUUCAGCUGAAUGGAGAGUGACAGGGAGGCUGAGGAAGGGAGGGAGGGGACCCAUGGGCUGUCAUACCCGGGGACUUAGGAAGGCUCUUGCUCUUGCUGGAAGGGUUGCAAAUCCCUAAACCAAGUAAUCCCAUCCCUAAACCAAGUAAUCCCAUUAAAACAUGAAACAUCCAGAGUAAAAUUAAGUUUAGAAUACUAUUUGCAAAGCCAAACAUAGUCUUACCAUAGGAUCCAGGCAUCACACUCCUUGGUAUUUACCCAAAUGGGUUGGAAACUUCCAUAUAAAAAUCUGCACACAGGCCGGGUACGGUGGCUCACGCCUGUAAUCUCAGCACUUUGGGAGGCUGAGGCGGAUGGAUCACCUGAGGUCGGGAGUUCAAGACCAGCCUGACCAACAUGGAGAAACCCUAUCUCUGCUAAAAAUACAAAAUUAGCCAGGCGUGGUGGCACAUGCCUGUAAUACCAGCUACUCAAGGGGCUGAUGCAGGAGAAUUGCUUGAACCCAGGAGGCAGAGGUUGCGGUGAGCCGAGAUUGUGCCAUUGCACUCCAGCCUGGGCAACAAGAGUGAAACUCUGUCUCAUAAAAUAAAUAAAUAAAUAAAUAUAAACCUACACACAGGCCAGGCAGGGUGGCUCACCCUGUAAUCUCAGCACUUUGGGAGGCCGAGGCGGGUGGGGUGGAUCACGAGGUCAGGAGAUCAAGACCAACUUGGCCAAGACGGUGAAACCUCAUCUCUACUAAUAAUACAAAAAUUAGCUGGGCAUGGUGGCACAUGCCUGUAAUCCCAGCUACUCAGGAGGCUGAGACAGGAGAACCGCUUGAACCAGGGAGUCGGAAGUUGUGGUGAGCCGAGAUCACACCACUGCACUCCAGCCUGGUGACAGAGUGAGACUCUGUCUAAAAAAAAAACCUGCACACAAAUAUUCAUGGUAGCUUUAUUCAUACUUGCCAAAACCUGGAAGCAACCAAGAUGUCCUUCAAUAGGUGAAUGGGUAAAUAAACUGUGGUACAUCCAGACAAUGCAAUAUUAUUUGGUGAUUAAAAAAAAAGAAAUGAGUUAAAAUCUUGGAUUUCUUUUUUUUAAAUGAGUUAUAAAGCCACAGAAAGACCUUAAAUACAUAUUGUUAAGUGAAAGAAGCCAGCCUGCAAAGCUACAUCUAUACAUGACUGUAUGACAUUCUAGAAAAGGCAAAACUAUAGAGACAGUGAAAACAUCAGGGAUUGCCAGGGGUUAAGAGGGAAGGAAGGAUGAAAAGGCAGAGGACAGAGGAUUUUAAGGCCGGUGAAACAAUUCUAUAUCAUACCAGAAUGGUGGAUAUAUGGGCUGGGGCUCAGAAAACAAUACCCCCAAAUGAAUGCCUCAGAAGCAAAAGUUUCUCCUGCCCUCCCAUCCCUGACCUCAUUCUCCCCCAAGGUUAGCCAUAGAAACCAGAAGUCCUCUUUCCCAAGGUGGGUCAUAGAAACUUCCAAACCCCUUUUCCCCAAAGCCAGUCAUAAAACCUAAAAAUAUGACUCUAACUUCCACCCCCACCCCACCACCUUUCUGUGUAAAAAUGUGUCAUAAGGAAAUCAUCUAACCUGCCUUGUUUGGUUGUCGGUCGUAAGACCCCCAUUCGAGAGAGGGCCCUGCCCCGUACCCAGCAGGAAGCAAUGCUGCCCAGAGAGGCCACGAGGAAUCUAGACAGGGCUUGCUGGGGGGCCCCACUCACUCUAUGAGCAUUAGCUCAUUCCCUUUUUUGUCCAAUCACAUUUCUAAAUAUUUUGUUGCACCUAAGCUUAAAAGUGGGCAGAGUCCCCUGCAUCUCUGGGUCUUCGUUCUGAAGGCUCCCCUGUCAUGUAACACUAUGACCAAAUAGAUGUGUGUGCCUUUUCUCCUAUUCAUCUGCCUUUUGUCUGUUAAUUUUCAGUGAAACUUCAGAGGGUGAAGGGGAAGUUUUCCUUGGCCCCUACACGUGUCAUUACAAACCCAUAGAAUGUACAAUGCCAAGAGUGGACCUUAGUGCAAGCCAGGGACAUUAGUCAGUAAUAAUGUUCCACGCUGACGCACAAAUGAAAGUUAUUUUAUUUGUGUGAACAGGAGAGCUGACAUGGUCUGUAUUGAUAUCUCCUGGGCAGGGAGGUGGUGAGCACGGCCCCAGAAUUCUGAACUGCCAGGAGCCAGGCAGCUUUGCAUCCUGGAGCUUGGCCAAUUCAGCCGCCCAAGUUCUGGCCAUGGGUCUGCAGCCCCCUGGCCCUUGCCUGCAUAAGCAGGAGAUGAAUGAGAGGAAGCAGAACUCACACAGGAGGCAGGAGGAAGCCACCAGGAAGCUCACUGGCUCCAGGGGCAGCAGAUCUGGGAUGGGGUCCCAGUUCUCUCCUUCCUCAUUCAUGAAAUGGGGCAAUAACAGUACUUACUUCAUUGGAGGUUCUUGGAGGGAAUAAAAGAGAUAUUAGUUAAAGGCAUGGAGCACAGUCCCUGGCACACUGAAAAAGUUUCAUAAAUGUUACCAAUUAAUUGUUUGUAUUAUAUAAUGUCUUCCUGAUAGGUUUUUGGGAAGGAAUAAAUCAAAGGUGAGAAAAUAUAUACAAAAACCUGACUGAGCGAGAACAUAGCUUACACACAAGAAGUGGCAGCUUGGUGAGCACACUGCUAUGUCAUGUUGUGCCUAGUCAUGACAUAGCCAAGGACUGAUACAGGCGCUCCCAUAACCCAUGGAUGGAUUCCUGCUGGACUCUAUUCAUGAAGGUUCUGAUUCUAAUUUUUUUAAAUCCAUGGAUAAAACAGCUACCAGAAAAUCCCAUUUGGGUUUGCAUGUUGUUCUUUGGCUUCGGUGGACAGCAAUCAUAUCAGUUGCAUUUCCCGAGCUAGAGCUCUGAGGCUUAGUCAUCCCCCUCCCUGGCUGGCUUCCAUGCUGUCUGCAGUGGGAGCAUCUUUUAUGAGAUGACAGGAGGGGACUUCAUGGAUGUGCAGCCUGGGCUGCUGGUACUGCCGGGGCUGCUGGUACUGCUGGGACUGCAGGAGAGGGAUGGUUUCUAUUAAUCCUCACAAUGGGAGGGUCCAGUGGGCUGUCACAGCACAGGCAGGGAAUCACAGGCCUCCCUGGGUGACCAGCUGUCCUGGCUGCUACCAGAUUCGGACUCCAGCAGGCUUUCCCUGGGGGCAGAGAUGACCUUGAUCUCUGGGCAGCUAGGCUUCAUGUCCUUGAUAUUUGUGGCCCUGCAUUGUUGGGGCACAGGAUGCAGAGCUGGGGAUGACUGAGCUUAAACUCCUGCUGCUAUGGAGGGCUGCCUCCUUGCCCUGAAUGCCCUGGGAGCCCUUUUAAAAACACAGGUCCAAGGAGUGAUAACAUGAGGGGCAGCACCUCUGGCCCCUGAGAGAGAAACUUGUCCAGUGAUAUGUGCACAAGCAACAUCUCCAGGCAUUCCUUCCAGACAAGGCAAGAGGCCCCCCAGGUGUGAUAUGUUAGCUACACAUGGGCUUGGUCUGUACUGCAAAUGUGUACUCAGUGAUGGGGCCAUUAGAUAUUUGGUUUCUACAUUGCUGCGAUGAAAAUUUACAAAGAACGUUCAUGGGGAAACCAGCUCCCAUCCAUGGGCAGCAGAGGAAUGUUGUCCAAGACUUACAUGGACAGGUAAGACUAAGGUCUCAUCCCAUACUCAGCAGUUCUGUGACCUUUUACAGAACAUAGGGAGGCAAGAAGGGAAAUGAGCCUUAGUUAGCCUCAGGGAGAACCAAGCCAGGUCUGUUUAGGGUCACCACCUUCACUGAACUGCCCUCCACUGGAGGCUAGGAACUGCAGGACAUGAGUUCAACAUCAAAAUAGUAAAAAUAGUGGCAAAUGUUUAGCAGUGUUUGCAACAUAUCAGGUGUCACAGCAACCUCUGCAGGAGAGGUGAGCAGGGCUAAUAUUUAGCAGGUGCACCCUUGUACUGGCUGCCUGCCAUUUAAUAGGUUAGUGCCUCAGCUGGUUAUUGAAUAUUUUCAACAUCGGCCCUGGGUACUAAGAUUAGUUCCCAUUUUACUGAUUAGGAAAUCGAGGUUAAGAGAGGGUAGGCGAUUUGCCUGAGAUCACACAGCCUCGUGUGUGGCAGAGCCUUAGAUUCCAAGCCAGGCUGUCCGAUGCCAGACCUUCACAGCUAUCCUAUGCUUCCACGGCACCCCGGACUUCCCCUUGGAGCACUUGCCAGUGAAACAAACAUGCCCUGGAGAAAUGCCUGGGAGUCCCACAGUGGGUAGGAGCACCAGCUGUUCAACAAGAGAAGACCAUUAGGCUUCAGGAGGGAGAGGAAGUUUUUUUGGGAAUGAGAGGACCAAGAGAAAUGAGGCACAGGGGAGAUCGGCCCCAAGGCUUGUCCUGAAAAAAGAACAUCAUCUUCUUCUAAGGUCCCGAGCGUGGGAUUUAUCUGACACAUUCUUCCACAUGCUUAUUGCAGGAGGAGCGUUGUGUUAAGUGCUUUGCAUGCAUUAAUUAUCUCAUUUAAACCAAAACCAACCCAGUGUGGCUGAGUGACUAUAUGAUGUCCAUUUUACAGAUGAGGAAAGGGAGGCUGAGAGAGCUUAAAGGACACACCACUUUUGAGUGGCAGAGCUAGGAUGCAAACCAGACCUGACUGCUGUUAAAGCUUGUGAUGUUUGUAGUCAUUCUUCUAUACUGUACCCUCAUAGGAAGUUCAAAAACAGAGAGGGUGGGAUUUGGUCUUUGGCUUUUGUUUAAAUGUAUGUUUUUAUAGAUAUAUUUCCUUAGCCCAUGCUAUGAACCAGGAGUUUCCAUUUGUUUAUUUAACUGAUUUAUUAAGCCUUUUUAGGGGCCAGCCCAGGUUCUGGGCACAAGCUGGAGAAGGAGAGCUGCUGCGGUCCCUAACUCAUGCCUCUUGCGGCAGUGGGUGGGUGUGAAGAGGGAGGAGGGGAGGAGGUGGUGAGAAGUCUGCUUCACAUUAUUCAGAGUUUCCUGUGAGCCAGGCACUGUGCCUGGGGCUAAGUGAUUAUAUCAUUUAGCCCUCCCAAUAGACUCUCAGGUAGACGCUCUCUUAUUUCCACUUUUUCCCAUUUACAGAUGGGGAAAUGAAGACUUAAGAAACUUAGGUAAUCUGCCCAAAGGCUUAUAGCCAAUACAUGGUAAAGCUGAGAUGUGAACUCAAGUAUCUGACUCCAAAGCCUGGGUUUUUUCUCUUUCUCUCUCUCUUUUUUUUUUUUUUUUGAGACAGGGUCUCACUCCUUCACCCAGUCUGGAGUGCAGUGACAUGGUCAUAACUCACUGUAACCUCAAACUCCUGGGCUCAAGUGAUCCUCCUUUCUCAGCCUCCUGAGUAGCUGGGACUACAGGCACACACUUUUAUGCCUGGAUAAUUUUUGUACUUUUUUUGUAGACAGGGUCUUACUGUGUUGCCCAGGCUGGUCUGGAACUCCUAGGCUAAAAUGAUCCUCCUGCCUCAGCCUCCCAAAUUGCUGGGAUUACAGGUGUGAGCCACUGUGCCCGGUCAAAGCCUGUGCUUUGAUUUGCCACCUAAUCCUCCUCCGUUUUAUAUGUAAUGUUAACCCCAAACCUGCAGGGUAGCCGUUAUCAGCCUCAUUUAACUGACAGGGAAGCCCAGUCUCAGAGGGGCCAGAUGCGUGCCCAAGGCCUUGCUGGGAAGAAUGGGAUUCUGGGCCCAGGCAUUCCAGCGCCAAGUCCAGGGCGUGAUUGUUACUCUGCAGUCCCUCUCUGUGACAAGAGCCUCACCGGGAACUCGGGGGUGGGGGCUCCCCCAAGCCUCCUGGCUGGACCCCAUUCCAAGCGUUAGUGUAACAGAUGUUGUGUGGCGGGAGUCUGUUGUGCUCCUGGUGUGUGGCUGGGAUUCAGAGGUGUCUUCAAGCGCUCUAGGAAGCCGGCGGGCGGGGCCAUGGCCGCAGAAGUGAGUGCAGGGAUGGAGAAUACAGGGAGUCCCUUGACCGGAGGAGACUUUGGAGGCAUUUGUGCUGUUCGCGUGAACUCCGCGUCCAUGGCCUACCCUGUGAUUGUCAUCAUUUCUAUGUGAGAAAAAAGCGGCUACUGAUUCACAGCGAAAGGAAACGGACUAGGUUCUGAAACUUCCUGUUUGUCUGGUAUCUGCAAAGAUAUGUGUGUUAUGCAAAUACCCUGACUCCCCAGAACUGCAGGUGUGUACAAACACACACACGCACGCACACACACACACACACACACACACACACACACACCCUCUGCUUGGCCCCAUGCAGUGGGUCUCCUCUGUACCCAGUAAACUGAAACAUGACUCUACUAACAUGGUAGCCAGGACACUGGGGACUCUGCUGUCGGAAUCCCUGAUCAUAGAGACAGCAGCUUUGGCCUUCGGCUCAAAGAGCUUCACAGAUGUCCCUUGUAGGCGAGUCCUGGCUCUGGCUCCUGGCCCACUGCAGAGCCUGGGAGUGAGGCAGGCAGAUAGGCGAGGGGGUCUCACCCAGGCCCAGGAACUCCAUUUUCUCUCAGCCCCAUUCCUCCCUCCCUCGGCUCCCUGACCGUGCUGAACGCAGCUCCCAAGCAGGGGGAGAGUCCAGAUAAUGGCAGAUGUUGAUUGUUUCCUGUUGGUUCACUGUGUCCUUUUGGCAGGCCUUUCUUUCUUUCAAAAUAUAUUCAGGUUUGAGCCUAGCACUGCAGCUUGCUGAGUGGGUCUAUGCUUCCAUAGAGCAGUGGCUUCGGGCACAGGCCUGAGACCCAGCCUGCCUGCGGGCUGCUAGCUGCCAGCUACCUCUGCACUAGGAAGGUUUUUAAACAGCUGAAUGCAAGCUUCAGCGUUAAUAGGUGAAAGUGAAAAUGACAUGUGACUUCUAGACAAUUCUCAUAGAUUCAAAAUAAUUGUUCUCUGUAAUGAGUAAAAUAACACUCUUGCAACAGCUGAAUGCUUUUCUCAUAUUCUGAGUUGCCCGAAUUAGGGGAAAUGGGUCUAAAUGGCUGCAAGAGGCAGUUUUGUCAGCUAGACGUCUUUUUACAAGUAUAUUGCAUCCUUCAGUCUCUUCCUGCCCCACCCUAAGACCCUCACCUGGGAAAUGGGAGGAUGGCUUGGAAGGCAAUUGUCAGGCCUCUGAGCCCAAGCUAAGCCAUCAUAUCCCCUGUGACCUGUACAUACACAUCCAGAUGGCCCGGUUCCUGCCUUAACUGAUGACAUUCCACCACAAAAGAAGUGAAAAUGGCCUGUUCCUGCCUUAACUGAUGACAUUACCUUGUGAAAUUCCUUCUCCUGGCUCAUCCUGGCUCAAAAGCUCCCCCGCUGAGCACCUUGUGACCCCCACCCCUGCCCGCCAGAAAACAACCCCUUUGACUGUAAUUUUCCUUUACCUACCCAAAUCCUAUAAAACAGCCCCACCCCUAUCUCCCUUCGCUGACUCUCUUUUCGGACUCAGCCCGCCUGCACCCAAGUGAAAUAAACAGCCUUGUUGCUCACACAAAGCCUGUUUGGUGGUCUCUUCACACGGACGUGCGUGAAAGCGAUGAAGCUGAGGUUGCAGGAAAGGAGUGAUCACCUGGCUCAGAGCUGGGCCCUAAAAGUCUAGGCCAGAGCCUCCCUGUUGUGAAAGGGAGUGGAAGGAGAAGGGGCUGGGAUGGGUCAAACUGGGUGGAAAGCUAGGCUCUGCUGUUUAGAAGCUGUAUGAUCUUGAGCAAGUUGCUUAACCCUUGCUAAGCCUCAGUUUCCCUUCCUGCAGAAAGGGAUUAUCAUGGGGACGAAAGGGGAUCCAGAACCUGGAGUGGAGGAUAGGGUGGGUAAGUGGAAGGUGUCAUGAGGACAACAUAUGCUGAGACACUCACCACCCUUUCUGAGGGCGCCUCAGCAGCAGGUCACAUGGUGCCUGAAACUCGUUUUUCUGAGUUGUGCUGGUUUGUGGAAUGAAAAGGGAAGCCAGGCUUCCUUCUUACUAGCUCUGACUGCCUUGUUUUAAGGAUCAUUCACCUUCCCUAAGGAUGGGAUAAAGCCUUCCUGUAGAGCAGACCGAUCUCCUUCUUUAUCCCUACAGUUCUCCCACCGUGGCCAUGGCCUUGGGGGCUGUUCUGACUCUUACAUUUAUAUAUCACUCCUACUUUCCCAGCCAGCAGGAUAGAAAACCUGAGAAGGGAAUUCUGCCUUAUAAACAUUUCUUACAGAUGGGGCAGACAGGUUGUUUCUUUUUUACCAAGGAAGCUCAGGGCAAUUCUGGUUGCAGGAAUGUUAAGCACUGAUAAAGAAGAGAAGAAAAAAUAUUCACCCUCCAGGGCCUGGAAUUUCCCCAUUCCUGAGCCCUGGCUUCCCUGUCUGAGAUAGAGACUGUCAGUCAGUCACCUACCAAUUCCCAAUUUCUCUUUCUGCUUUACUAAAAGUACUUGAUUUGGGAUGGGGGUGGGGGGUGGCAGGCAGCAAUACAUCCAAGUAAAAGACUGUACUUCCCAAAUCUCUUGAAACUAGGGACAGCCAAUGAGGUAUAAAUGAAAAUUAUUGGGGCUGGGGUCCCAAAAGCUUCUCUCUCUUUUUUGAGACAGAGUCUCAGUUUGUCAUCUAGGCUGGAGUGCAGCAGCAGGAUCACAGCUGUAAAAUCAAAAGUGUCAAAGACAGGUCUCAAUCAAUUUAGAAAGUUCAUUUUGCCAAAGUUAAGAGCACACCUUUAACCUCAGGUGAUCCUGACAGCAUGUACCCAAGGUGGUUGGUGCCCAACUUGGUUUUAUACAUUUUAGGGAGCAUAAGGCAUCAAUCAAUAUGUGUAAGAUGUACAUUGGUUUGGUCUGGAAAGGUGGGACAACUGAAAGGUGGGACUUCCAAGUCAUAGGUGGAUUCAAAGAUUUUCUGAUUGGCAAUUGGUUGAAAGAGUUAUUAUCGAUAGAAAAGAAUGUCUGGGUUAUGAUGAGGGGUUUUGAAGGGAGGAGGGUAGAAUGAGGCAUGUCUGACUCCCCCUUCCCAUCAUGGCCUGAACUAGUUUUUCAGGUUAACUUUGGAAUGCCCUUGGCUAAGAGGAAGGGUCCAUUCAGAUGGUUGGCGGGGGGGCCUUAGAAUUUUAUUGUUGGUUUACGUGGCUCAGUGCAGCCUUCACCUCCUGGGCUCAAGUGAUCCUUCCAUCUCAGCCUCUUGAGUAGCUGUGGCCACAGGUGCAUGCCACCAUGCCUGGCUAACUUUUUUUUUUGGUAGAUAUGGGGUCUUGCCAUGUUGCCCAGGCUGGUUUUGAAUUCCUAAGCUCAAGUUAUCCUCCUGUUACAGGAAAGGGGUCCUGAUCCAGAUCCCAAGAGAGAGUUCUUGGAUCUCACACAAGAAAGAAUUCGAGGUGAAUCCAUAGAGUAAAGUGAAAGCAAGUUUAUUAGGAAAGUAAAGAAAUAAAAGAAUGGCUACUCCAUAGGCACAGCAGCUUCCAGGGCUGCUGGCUGCCCAUUUUUAUGGUUAUUUCUUGAUUAUAUGCUAAUUAUUUAGUGUUUGCAAAAAUAGCCAGGCUAUAAGGGGUGGAUUAUUCAUGAGUUUUGUGGAAAAGGGGUGGGCAAUUCCCAGAGCUGAGGGUUCCUCCCAUUUUUAGACCAUAUAGGGUAACUGCCAGAUCUUACCAUGGCAUCUGUAAACUGCCAUGGUGCUGAUGAGAGUGUCUUUUAGCAUGCUAAGGCAUUAUAAUUAGCAUAUAAUGAGCAGUGAGGACAAUCAGAGAUCACUCUUAUCACUAUCUUGCUUUUGGGGGGUUUUAACCAGCUUCUUUACAGCAGCCUGUUUUAUCAGCAAGGUCUUUGUGACCUGUUUCUUGUGCUGACCUCCUAUGUCAUCCUGUGACUUAGAAUGCCUACCCUUCUAGGAAUGCAGCCUAGUAGUUCUCAGUCUUAUUUUACCCAGCCCCUACUCAAGAUGGAGUCCCUCUGGUUCAAAUGCCUCUGACACUCCCACCUCAGCCUCCCAUAGUGCUGGAAUUACAGGCUUGAGCCACUGCACCUGGCCUUAAAAGCUUCUUAAAGGGAUCUAAGAAAUUGACUCUCCCCACCCUCUUUCUUAACCGUAAAACACUAAUGUAAUGGCUGGAGUUCUAGCAACCAUAUUGGGCCAUGAGGCAACCUUGAAAAAGGAAGCCACAAACUAAAACAUUGACUCUCAACCUUUAAUGCUGAAAAAAGAAAAAGUAUCCCCUGACAUCCGGGAAAUGGCCUGACACUUUGAGCUAGGGCUUAAUCUUAUUAAAAGCUUGCCUGGCUAUUUUUGCAAACACUGAUGUCAGUCGCCAGUCUGCAACUGUGAUGAAGAGGUCAAAAGAGACCCCUUCCUAACUCUGUCUAAGCACAAACAACUCCACAAAACACUAGACACACCCCCUUCUGGCUCAUUAAGUGACAGGGGCCUCCUUAUCAACUAUAACUAUAGCCUUGAUCUUGUCUUCUGUCCUUAUAGAUAAGAUUUACUAACAUACCCAGCUGCAGAAUUGUCCCAUUUCCAGACAGCAGACAAUGCAGAGCAAGCCCUUCCCUCCUAGACCCUCCCCAAAUUCACCUAACCAAAGCCCAAAGCCUAAAAGUCCCUUUGAACACCUUUUUAGUGAAAUGGUGCCCCCAUGAUAUCUUCCUCAUUGCAACCAGUAAUAAAGCCAACUUGUUCAAAUGCCGGUUUGCAAAUAAAUCACUUGGGGAUUUGUUAAAAUGCAGACUGUGGUUCAGUAGGUCUGAAGUAGAGCUUAUUCUGUGUUUGCCACAAGCACCCAGUGAGGCACUUGCUGCUGGACCAUGGUCCCACUUUGGGUAGCAAGGCAGUUAAGGGUGGCAGAUUAGAACACUGGACAUGCUUAACCUUGACCAUGGGACCACUGUAUGCAUCCUGUUGUUUCUCAGUGAAAAUAUGCCUGUAUUUCAUGUAAGCCCCCGCUAUAUAUGUUGGCUACUAGCAACUUAACCAACACGUUGUCCUUGUCCUUAGAAAAUGUGUGGUUACAGCCAGGUGUGAGCAGGCCUAGACCAGGCUUGGGGAUUUAUUGACCAAAUGUGGUGCCUUUGAGGUGAAACCACAAGUAAUCAGAGAAGCUGAGUCACUCCACUUAGUGGACUGGUGGAAAAUUCUCAAAUGGUCUUAAGCUGGCCCCAUGUUGGGCUGAGGACUAGAGAUCUCAGAGGCUCCACCUGCCCAUCCAAUUGCAGGUGUCUGGGCCUGGCCCCACCUUGCCUUCCUGCUCCAUUGCUCACCAUUCCACACCCAAAGGCACCAUGAUGUUUUGUACCUCCUUGCCUUUGCUCUUCCCUUUGCCAGGGAUGCCCUUCCCACCUUCCUCCACGUGGCUAACCCUCCCUCAGCUCUGCUUCCAGGGUGUCUCCCCUGGUCGCCAAGGGCUGGCUAGUGCCUCUUCUUUGCUCCCAGGGCACCCUGUGCCUUUCUGUGCCCCAACUAUUUCCCAGUUUGUAGCAGUUAUUUAUUUUGUGGUCAUCUUCCCACUGGUCGUCAGCUCCUAGAGGGCAGGGAUCAUGUUUUGGGUUAUUCAUCACUGCAUCCCCUGACAUAGUCCCCAAACCUCGAGAACUAUGAAACUGCACCAAAGGUUCCAGCUCCCCCACAGCCUGCCCUUAACCUUGAGCCAUUUGAAGGGAGAGUAUGAGACAAUAGUGAAAGAAACCCUUCUCUAAUGUUUUCCCCAUUUAGGUUAUGUGAAGUUGGCAGUUCCCAAGGGCUUUAGGCUUGAAGCUGUGGGUCAUACCCCUUCGGAAACUUGGUCCCCAAGAGAAAUGUAUGCUUCUGAAAACCACAGGUGCAUGAAUCGUGUUUAGUAAAUGACUACUAAACUGAAAUCAGGACUUGUCUAUAUCUUGGCUUCUCAAACUUGAAUAUGCUUAUCAUCUGGAUAGCAAAAGCAUUCCUACACGUUGAGGCCUGCCAGCGUGGGUGUCACCCAGGAGCCACUCGGAAAGGCUCAUCGGAAACCACCCCGGACUGACUGAGGCAGAAUCUCUGGGGGCAGGACCCAGGCCUCAGCAUAAAAACUCCAGGUGACGGAAGAGCUCCCACCUAACAGGUGUGUUGGCAUUGUUGUAGGUGACUGACGUAGUUUCCCAUCUCACAACUCUACCUCCAUGAAGAAAAGUCAUGGAAAAUUGAGACUUUGGGCUGAGUGUGGCUCAUCCCUGUAAUCUUAGUGCUUUGGGAGGCUGAGGUAGGAGGAUCGCUUGAGGCCAGGAAUUUGAGGCCAGCCUGAGCAACAUAGUGUCUCUUCAAAAAACUAAGUUUAUUCUUUCCUCUUUUUUAGUUUUUAUUUUACACGGCUCACUGUGGCUUUGACCUCCCAUGCUGAAGCGAUCCUCCUAUCUCAACCUCUCAAGUAGCUGGAAGCACAGGCAUGCACCACCACACCUGGCUAAUUUUUUUCUUCCUUUUUUAAAGAGACAGUCUUGCCAUGUUGCCCAGGCCCUGUUGACCAGGAAAAAAAAAAGUUUUUUUUCUUUUUUAAAGAAAGAAAAUAAAAGAGACUGAGAAACCACAGAAAUAAAGAAGCGCUGAUGACAAUGCCUGCUUGCUGAUGGUUACGAUGAUCAUAGCAGUGUGCAUUUUGUAUGCAUGAAGCCUGCGACUAAAUAAACGUGUGGGGAAAUAUUUGUAAGGAAAUAAGCUAUUAAUAAAAUAAGCUAAAAUCACAGUUGCUGGACUAUGACUGAUUUUUCCCCUUUCUCUCAUUUAAAAUUAAAUAUUUGUAUGACUUGUAUAAUAGAAAAAUACAUGUAUUCAAUCUUAAAAAGAUAUUCUUAUUUUACACUUUACGGGACAAAAGAGGUUGUAGGUUGGAAUGGUUCAGUCCCCUUGUGACAACUCAAAAACAGAGACCUUAAGCCUUUCUCAACCAAUGUUGCGGGACAAGCAGGCGUGUGAGGCGACAAUGCCAUUAGGGUAUUUUUUGGAAAAAUUUUAGUGUGAGAGACAAAAGCCAAAUUCAAACUGGCCUGAGCCAAAAUAGGUAGGAAAGGGAGAAGCGGAGACAGGGAGGAAGAAAGAGAGAGAACAGAAAGAAAAAGGGAGAAAUGUCGAAAGGCAAAAUUACAACACAUUUAGUUAAAUGAUUGAAUUGGUUUUUAUUUGUAAUUCAUGAAUUGGGGCAGCAUCUCCUCUAAAACUUUAGGAAAAGUGCUCUGAUGAGCUAAACAGAGAAGCUUGGCUUUAUAGGCAGAAAAGGGUGAAGAAAGCAGACACAGGGAACAAAAAGCAGAUUGGUAAGCUCAGGUUACUUCAGGUUACUUUCCUUAUAAAGGUUAAAGUAGAGGGGACUUCCUUAUCAUGCUGGCUACAACUGGCCUGUUUGGGGAUUUGCAUAUUAUCUCUCUCUGUCUUGAGUUCUGGGAAGGUCUGAUGACUUAGUUUCAGUUUGGUGAUAUGGAACUUAGCAUGAGUGACUCCAUCUUGGUUUGGUCUACUGGGGCCUCCUGCAGGAGCUCAGCCCAAAUCAGUGACCUCCUAUAAAUUUCAUUUAAUAGAAAAGGAAGGAAGGAAGGAAGGAAGGAAGGAAGGAAGGAAGGAAGGAAGGAAGGGAGGGAGGGAGGGAGGGAGGGAGGGAGGAAGGGAGGAAAGAAGGAAGGAAAGAAAGAAAGUUGCUUAUAAGUUGCUUAUAACUAAAAAGACCAGCUGGACCCAGGAGCUCUGAGGUUGCUUUCAGGCCUCUGUCCAUCUCUUAGUUUUCCAUCCUCAGACAGGCUCUGCCCUGCCUUACAGUCUAGCAUUGUUGGCCAAAGGUGACUGACUGGCCCAGCUUGGGCUAUAUGUCCUUCCCUGUGGCCAGAGAGAUGUGUCUCUGUGAUGGCCAGGCUUGGGUCACGUACUCCCUCCCCUACCAGAAUCACAUGAAAAGAGGGAGGAAGAGCCGCUUUCCACCAAAGGAAACUGAAGUGCUAUUGUCAGAGGGGUUGCUGGGCAGACCAAAAAGAUGACAAUAUCUGCUCCAAUCGCUCGGGUUGUUGGUGCUUGGCAGAUUUGCCCCUACGUCACUUUUCAGAUGUGGAUAAGACUGAAGGUGACCACAGGCUUCCGAGAGGAAAGCUGCCAAUGGGGGUGUGAGAGGAGGGGGAAUUCUUACUCACCAAGGUUAACACUGUGCACACUGUUCUCCGAGGAAGUGGGAAUUUCCACAUGGUGAGUUCCCUUCCCUGUACAAUGAAUUACUAUCUUGAUGAGAAACCCGUGGGCAGCUGGUUGAGAAGAGAAAGGUAUUCUCUGAAUGAGAGGGAAUUUACCACCUUCCUUUCAAUGGUGACAGUUUUUUCUGGUGUCACCGCAGGGUGUGGAUUGAUUCAUAUACAAAUAUACAUAUCUACAUAGAUGCCAUUCUGCUAGCCUCUGCAAAAUGCAUGCCUGGAGACCAUUUCUGCUGCCUAGGAGAUGUCAACUUUGUCACCACCACUCUCUCUCCACCACUCCCACACCCUGCAGGGGCCAGGUGUGUGGGUGGGGAGCUCCCCAGCUGGAGGCCAGAUUAGAGGUCUCUGUGUGGUGGGGAUGGGGAGGAUGGGGUGGGAAUGAGGUGGUAGGCCACUGGCAGUGGUCCAAGUUCCAUCCAGGAUCUGUCCUAGGCCUCUCCCCAGGCUGUCGCUUCCACCAUUGAAUUUCUAACCUGGAUCUCUAAGGUUAUGAAUAUCUCAUUCCCGCAUCCUGGGGUGCUCAGACAUGUCUCCCCUGAGUCUCUAGCUGGGCUCGUGGCUGUGAUCAUUGUCCUCAGAGUUCCAUCCUCCCAACAAAGGGACAGAAGAAACACAGGGCCCACUUUUCUGGAUUCUGAGUUGGAGCCAAGAAAUUCUAUCUGCUGCUUCCUUCCUGUUGAAUUAUCCCCCAAGGACCCCUUAGUCCCUCCAGUCUCCUCCAGAGGCCUAUAGCUGCCCCAGCUCCCCAUGAUGGAUACCUGGCUCUUUCCUACCCAGAGGAAAACGCAGGCCCUUCCCCAGCCCUGCACUGAACUCCUGUGAGUGGCUGAGGAGAUGAGGAGGUGUGAAGAGUGAGUGUGUUGGGGAGGGAGGGGUCCCCUGCCACCAGGUACCAAGGACUUCUGCCAGAUCACCAGAACUGACACCUGGUUCCACCGGCCAGCUGUGAAGUGUCGGCCCUGACAUCAACAGCUGACCUCCCACAGGGCCUAAGGAAACGGAAUUGUGGGUAAAUGAAACAUUUUAUUUAUUUUAUUUUGUUUUAUUUUUAUAAAUUUUUGGGGAGACAGUUUUGCUAUGUUGCCAAGGCUGGGCUUGAUCUCCUGACCUUAAGUGAUCCUCCUACCUUGGCCUCCUGUGCUGAGAUUACAGGUGUGAAUCACCAUGCCUGGCCAAGAAGUGAAUUUGUAAAAGACAUGAGGAAAGGCCUGGUGGAAAGCUAACAGUGAAAAAAAUUUUCAAUACUUGCUAUAGAAACUAAAGAAACUCACAAUAUUUUGCUCUCUAUUGGAUCAUUUCCAUCAACAUACAAAUAAAUACCUGUUAUUUUUUCCAUCUUUAAAAAAAUGCCUUCAUUAUAAGUGAUUCAACAAAUUAAUAAACGAGAAGGGAAAAAUCUUCUCUAUAGAAGAAUUCCAAAUAGCAUAUGUAGAUACUCUCCCCUCCAGGAAGCCGAGCUUAAAUCCACUCUCUUUGAGAGUGGACUGGAUUUAGUGACUCACUUCCAAAGAGUAGAGUAUGGAAAGGGAAAAUAGUAACUUUAUAGGAAAGAAACCCAGCAGGUACCUUGUUAACCAAAUGAUGAAGGUUAACAUCACCGCUGAUAAGUCAUGUUGCUAUCAUUCACCCGCUGAUACGAUCUCAUGAGAAGGGCAAUUCCCGACUGUGGUAUUCUUCAAAUCUAUUGAGUUAUAAGAAAACAUGAGAUAAACCCAAACUGAGGAACAUUCUACAGAAUACAUGACCAGUAUUCUUCAAAGCCCUUAAGGUCAUGAUAAACAAGGGAAGACUAAGAAGUGAUCACAGAUUGGGAUGACUGAGACAUGAUGACAAAAUGCAGAGUGAUAUCUUGGAACAGAAAAAAGACAUUAGUGAGAAAAUUCAAAAAACUCUGAUUAGAGUUGAUAGUUGGGCUAUUAGUUUUAUACCAAUGUGAAUUUCUUAGUUUUGACAAAUAUACGUGAGGGAAAGCUAGGCGAAGGGUAUUCUGGAAAUCUCUACCCUGUACUGUCUUUUCAACUUUUCUAUGAAUCUAAAGCUCUUCCAAAGAUAAGUCUAUUAAAAAAAUAACAAAAACUUCCUCUAAAAUUUAAAGACGGACAAUAUCAGGUGUUGAUAAAUCUGUGGAGAAUUUGGAGCUCAUACAUUGCUGGUGAGAAUGUGAAAUUAUGUAGUUAUUUUGGAAAACAGUUCGGUAGUUCUUAUAAAAUGAAAGAUACAUCACUAAAUGACCCAACGAUUCUACUCCUUGAUAUCUACCCAGUAGGAAGGAAAUGAUGUCCGUACAAAGACUUGUAUACAAAUAUUCAUACCAUUUUUCAUCAUAAUGGCCCAAAACUAGAAACAACUCAAAUGUCCAUCAACAAGUAAUGGGUAAUCAAAUUGCGGUAUAUAUAUACAAUGAAAUAUAACUCAAUAUAAAGUAAGAAACUACUCAUAGAUACAGCAACAUGGAUAUUUCUCAAGUAUAUGCUGAGCAAAAAAAGCCAGACACAGGAGCACAUCCUAUAUGAUUCAAUUUAUACGACAUUUUAGAAAAGGCAAAACUAAUCUCAGAGACAGAAAGCAGGUCUGUGGUUGCCUGGAGCUGCGGAUUGGGGAGGGGAUGAUGGGAGAGAUUGACAAAAGGAGCACAAGGAACCUUUUGGGGUGAUGCUGGUAAUAUAUAUCUUGAUUGUUGUGGUGGUUACAUGGAUGCAUACAUUUGUCAAAAAUCAUUAAACUGUAUACUUCAAAUUUAUUAUAUGUAAAUUAUGCCUUAAUAAAGUUGAUUUUCUGAAAAGCUUUCUUUGAUCCGUUUACCCUGCCAGCUCCCCUUUUGCAAGACUCCUGAAAGAGCUGCUGAUACUCACUGUCUCCACUUCUACCCCAUAUGUUCUUUCUGAAGCCCACCCCAGCCAGGCUUCUAUUCCCAUCAUGCCAUGGAAACCAUUCUCAUCAAGGCGGCAGUGACCUCCGUGUUGCUAAAUCCAAUGAGCACUCACCACUUUCCAGUACAGUAUAUUAUUCAACCUGCUUGUUUAUUUUGUUUACUUUUCAUUGUCUAUCUACUCAAAGGCAGGAAACUGCUUUGUUCACGGCUGUAUCCCAAGUCCUAGAGUAGUGCCUGGCCCGUAGUAGCUGCCCAGUAGGUACUUGUUGAAUGAAGUAAUAAAGUUUCACCAGCAAGAGCAAACUUCCUACCUCUGGCCUAUCAGCCCAGGUCUGAGCAGACUGAUCCAGGAGACGACAGAGAAAAGGUGGAUCUGGAGGGAUCCUGCCCUGUCCCAGGAUUGGGAGAAUUGAGAGAGGCUCCGGAUUCUUCUUCAUUGUCUUUGGUUGUGCCUCGUGACCUCAGACAGACCUGGGCCUCUGGUUCGCUAGGCUGCAGCUGUGUGCUCAGAGCCACUGCCCACCGCUUAACGUCAUAGUUCUCAGGGGACCUUCCAGGAAUACUCAGAGGACAUAUGUCUGUGACUGCACUGUCCAGGGUACCAGCCACUGGCCAUGUGGCUACUGAGUACUUAUUUGGCCAGUCCCAAAUGAGAUGUGUUGAAACUGUAAAAUUUCAAAGACUUAGUACAAA